rnacentral:rRNA from 1 species
GNAGGNGGCAAGCGUCGUCCGGAAUNACUGGGUGUAAAGGGAGCGCAGGCGGAACUGCAAGNNGGGUGUCAAAUCUACGGGCUUAACCCGUAUCCGCACUCAAAACUGUGGUNCUUGAGUAGUGCAGAGGUAGGCGGAAUUCCCGGUGUAGCGGUGGAAUGCGUAGAUAUCGGGAGGAACACCAGUGGCGAAGGCGGCCUACUGGGCACCAACUGACGCUGAGGCUCGAAAGUAUGGGUAGCAAACAGGAUUAGAUACCCUGGUAGUCCAUACCGUAAACGAUGAUUACUAGGUGUGGGGAGAUUGACCCUCUCCGUGCCGCAGUUAACACAAUAAGUAAUCCACCUGGGGAGU